CGGGUCUGAGGACAGACAGGUAGAGGGACCGACAGGUGAGCUCAGAGACAGGUAGGACAGGUAGAGGGACCGACAGGUGAGCUCAGAGACAGGUAGACAGGAAGAGAGACCGACAGGUGAGCUCAGAGACAGGUAGAGGGACCGACAGGUGAGCUCAGAGACAGGUAGACAGGUAGAGAGACAGACAGGUGAGCUCAGAGACAGGUAGACAGGUAGAGAGACCGACAGGUGAGCUCAGAGACAGGUAGAGGGACCGACAGGUGAGCUCACAGACAGGUAGACAGGUAGAGAGACCGACAGGUGAGCUCAGAGACAGGUAGAGGGACCGACAGGUGAGCUCAGAGACAGGUAGACCGGUAGAGGGACCGACAGGUGAGCUCAGAGACAGGUAGACAGGUAGACAGGUGAGCUCAGAGACAGGUAGACCGGUAGAGGGACCGACAGGUGAGCUCAGAGACAGGUAGACAGGUAGACAGGUAGAGGGACCGACAGGUGAGCACAGAGACAGGUAGACAGGUAGAGAGACCGACAGGUGAGCAGACAGACAGG